UUUCAAAACUGCAUCCCUUGAGUAUCGGAGAGGCAAGCGGAAUUCCUAGUGUAGCGGUGAAAUGCGUAGAUAUUAGGAGGAACACCAGUGGCGAAGGCGGCUUGCUGGACGACAACUGACGCUGAGGCGCGAAAGCGUGGGGAGCAAACAGGAUUAGAUACCCUGGUAGUCCACGCUGUAAACGAUGAAUACUAGGUGUGGGAGGACUGACCCCUUCCGUGCCGCAGUUAACACAAUAAGUAUUCCACCUGGGGAGUACGACCGCAAGGUUGAAACUCAAAGGAAUUGACGGGGGCCCGCACAAGCAGUGGAUUAUGUGGUUUAAUUCGACGCAACGCGAAGAACCUUACCAGGACUUGACAUCCAACUAACGAAGUAGAGAUACAUUAGGUGCCCUUCGGGGAAAGUUGAGACAGGUGGUGCAUGGUUGUCGUCAGCUCGUGUCGUGAGAUGUUGGGUUAAGUCCCGCAACGAGCGCAACCCCUAUUGUUAGUUGCUACGAGAGAGCACUCUAGCGAGACUGCCGUUGACAAAACGGAGGAAGGCGGGGACGUCGUCAAAUCAUCAUGCCCCUUAUGUCCUGGGCUACACACGUAAUACAAUGGCCGUCAACAGAGGGAAGCAAAACCGCGAGGUAGAGCAAAACCCUAAAAACGGUCUCAGUUCGGAUUGCAGGCUGCAACUCGCCUGCAUGAAGCUGGAAUUGCUAGUAAUCGCGGAUCAGCAUGCCGCGGUGAAUACGUUCCCUGGCCUUGUACACAC
rnacentral:rRNA from 1 species